rnacentral:rRNA from 1 species
AUUGAACGCUGGCGGCAUGCCUUACACAUGCAAGUCGAACGGUAACAGGUCUUCGGAUGCUGACGAGUGGCGAACGGGUGAGUAAUACAUCGGAACGUGCCUAGUAGUGGGGGAUAACUACUCGAAAGAGCGGCUAAUACCGCAUGAGAUCUACGGAUGAAAGCAGGGGAUCGCAAGACCUUGUGCUACUAGAGCGGCCGAUGGCAGAUGAGGUAGUUGGUGGGAUAAAAGCUUACCAAGCCGACGAUCUGUAGCUGGUCUGAGAGGACGAUCAGCCACACUGGGACUGAGACACGGCCCAGACUCCUACGGGAGGCAGCAGUGGGGAAUCUUGGACAAUGGGCGCAAGCCUGAUCCAGCAAUGCCGCGUGCAGGAUGAAGGCCUUCGGGUUGUAAACUGCUUUUGUACGGAACGAAAAGCCCCGGGUUAAUACCCUGGGGUCAUGACGGUACCGUAAGAAUAAGCACCGGCUAACUACGUGCCAGCCGCCGCGGUAA